rnacentral:rRNA from 1 species
CCUACGGGAGGCAGCAGUGGGGAAUAUUGCACAAUGGGCGCUAGCCUGAUGCAGCCAUGCCGCGUGUGUGAAGAAGGCCUUCGGGUUGUAAAGCACUUUCAGCGGGGAGGAAGGCGUUAAGGUUAAUAACCUUGGCGAUUGACGUUACCCGCAGAAGAAGCACCGGCUAACUCCGUGCCAGCAGCCGCGGUAAUACGGAGGGUGCAAGCGUUAAUCGGAAUUACUGGGCGUAAAGCGCACGCAGGCGGUCUGUCAAGUCGGAUGUGAAAUCCCCGGGCUCAACCUGGGAACUGCAUUCGAAACUGGCAGGCUAGAGUCGUGUAGAGGGGGGUAGAAGUCCAGGUGUAGCGGUGAACUGCGUAGAGAUCUGGAGGAAUACCGGUGGCGAAGGCGGCCCCCUGGACAAAGACUGACGCUCAGGUGCGAAAGCGUGGGGCGCAAACAGGAUUAGAUACCCGUGUAGUC